UUACGGCCAUUUCACGUUGAACGACCGAUUCUCGUACGAUCACCGAAGUUAAGCAACGUCGAGCCUGGCCUGUACCUAGAUGGUCGAGCGCAUGGGAAUGUGAG